GGCCCAGUGUUUGCUGCAGAAGCUGGAACAAGACUGCUUGUAAAGAAUAGACUCCCAGGUCACAAUAUAAACAGCUGACAAUCUAUGGAAAAUGGAUAAGAACAAGGAAUAACCUUAGGAGAGUUCAAGUUGAUACCAGGAGAAAAGAGAGAGAGAGAGCAUGAG